rnacentral:rRNA from 1 species
GACGAACGCUGGCGGCGUGCUUAACACAUGCAAGUCGAACGGAAAGGCCUCUUUCGGGGGGUACUCGAGUGGCGAACGGGUGAGUAACACGUGAGUAACCUGCCCUUGACUUUGGGAUAACUUCAGGAAACUGGGGCUAAUACCGGAUAGGAGCUCCUGCUGCAUGGUGGGGGUUGGAAAGUUUCGGCGGUUGGGGAUGGACUCGCGGCUUAUCAGCUUGUUGGUGGGGUAGUGGCUUACCAAGGCUUUGACGGGUAGCCGGCCUGAGAGGGUGACCGGCCACAUUGGGACUGAGAUGCGGCCCAGACUCCUACGGGUGGCAGCAGUGGGGAAUAUUGCACAAUGGGUGGAAGCCUGAUGCAGCAACUCCGUGUGCGGGAUGACGGCCUUCGGGUUGUAAACCGCUUUCGCUCAUGACGAAGCUUUGUGUGACGGUAGUGGGUAAAGAAGCACCGGCUAACUACGUG